GACGAACGCUGGCGGCGUGCUUAACACAUGCAAGUCGAACGGUGAAGAGGAGCUUGCUCCUUGGAUCAGUGGCGAACGGGUGAGUAACACGUGAGUAACCUGCCCCAAACUCUGGGAUAAGCACUGGAAACGGUGUCUAAUACCGGAUACGAGCUUCAGCCGCAUGGCUAGGAGUUGGAAAGAAUUUCGGUUUGGGAUGGACUCGCGGCCUAUCAGCUAGUUGGUGAGGUAAUGGCUCACCAAGGCGACGACGGGUAGCCGGCCUGAGAGGGUGACCGGCCACACUGGGACUGAGACACGGCCCAG
rnacentral:rRNA from 1 species